rnacentral:rRNA from 1 species
UACGUUCCCGGGCCUUGUACACACCGCCCGUCACGUCACGAAAGUCGGUAACACCCGAAGCCGGUGGCCCAACCCCUUGUGGGAGGGAGUCGUCGAAGGUGGGACUGGCGAUUGGGACG